UUUCCUGUGGCUUAGUUGGUUAAAGCGCCAGACUAGCGAUACGUACAUAGUCGUGGGUUCGAGUCCCACCAAGACAA
rnacentral:tRNA from 1 species